AGAAUCAACGCUGGCGGCGUGCCUAACACAUGCAAGUCGCACGAGAAAGGGGAGCAAUCCCUGAGUACAGUGGCGCACGGGUGAGUAACACGUGAAUCAUCUACCUCCGAGUGGGGAAUAACUGAGAGAAAUCUUAGCUAAUACCGCAUAACACUUACGAGUCAAAGCAGCAAUGCGCUUGGAGAGGAGUUCGCGGCAGAUUAGUUAGUUGGCGGGUAAUGGCCCACCAAGACGAUGAUCUGUAUCCGGCCUGAGAGGGCGCACGGACACACUGGAACUGAAACACGGUCCAGACUCCUACGGGAGGCAGCAGUGGGGAAUUUUGCGCAAUGGGGGAAACCCUGACGCAGCAACGCCGCGUGGAGGAUGAAAUCCCUUGGGAUGUAAACUCCUUUCGACAGGGACGAUAAUGACGGUACCUGUAGAAGAAGCCCGGCUAACUUCGCGCCAGCAGCCGCGGUAA
rnacentral:rRNA from 1 species